rnacentral:ncRNA from 1 species
GUCUAAGUAUAAGCGAUUAUACGGCGAAACUACGAAUGGCUCGUUAAAUCGGUUAUCGUUUAUUUGAUAGUACCUUACUACAUGGAUAACCGUGGUAAUUCUAGAGUUAAUACAUGCUGAAAACCCCGACUUCGGAAGGGGUGUAUUUACCAUCACUCGCCCCAACGGCGACGGCACGCCUGUUGUCUGCGGCAGCCUUCAGCCGUUCUACAGUCAUGGCGAUGCCGGGGGUGCCAUCGAGGAGUCGAACAAGUCUGGCCAAAAGAUUCCGCCGGAG